GUUCUUUUGACCCCCACCAAACUUCCUACUUACAUAAAUAUGCCACCCCAACUUCCUCCAUAGGUAGUUUUUUAUUUGUUGGUUUGGUACAUCACGCGGUUAAGAGUUCUAAGAUCAGCCUACUGGGCCUCUAAUCCUUGGCUUCGCCAGUUUACUAGCUGUGGUUUAGGUUAAGUUAGCUGCCUCUCUUUGGCCCAUCUGUCAAAUGGGAGGAAUAAUUGAAUUCAUCCCACAAGGUCAUUAGGAGGCCUCAGUGACUUCCUAAAAAUUCAGGGUUCAGUCAUAAAAAAGGGAUUUAUGAUCAAUACAUGAUAGUAGCAGUAGUGUUUUUAUAGUUAUCCUAUUCUGCAGAUUCUCAAAAAUAUCUUAAAUUUUAAACUACUAGCCUUAUAAUUGGAGUAGACUCAGCUUUAUUCCUAAUUGGGGAAAUACAAAGAAUAUGAAAGGCAAAAAAAAAAAAAAAGAAAGAAAGAAAGAAAGAAAGAAAGACAAAAAGGAAAAAAGAAACCAACCAGAAAACCAAGAAACAACAUGCAGGGCAAAGCCUCAAUAUACAUAAGGCCUCAAUAUUCAGACUGUGCCUGAAAAUCCAAAUUUGGGGCAUCCCUUUUUGCUGCUCUGCAAAUGAUCUUUAUUUGCUUUGCCUAUCUAGCCUCAAGAUUAAUUACUCAGUUUAGGGGGAGGACCUUGAAGUUUGCCCAUAAAUUUUCUGCCUCUAAAGAGAAGAUUUUUAUCACUGACUAUUCUGCUGUGAGCAUGAGUCUAGGAGAGUGACUCAGGCCAUCUUCUUAGAAUGGCGGGCCAUAAAUCAGCUUUUAUAGAAAAUUAAUCUCCCUGGACUCAUUUGGAAAGUUAGCAAUUAUUAGUAGCUAGUGUAAGAGAGAGUCUUCAAAAGAGGAAUGGUAAGACAAUGUCACCUUGAGUUUCUUCUAAAUUGUUCCCUCAAGUAAGCUGUGGAUGGGAGUAGUCCCCGAAGGCAGAUGCCACCAAAGGAAGUUGUUGGUGCCUAAAACUCACUACAUAUGUGAACUGGAUCCCAAGAAAUAUGCUGGAAGACUGGAAGUCAGCACCCCUGGUCUGAUGCUGCAAAUCCCACAUUAUCAUCAUCCCGGGCUUCUCCUACCUUCACAUUCUGCCAGCUUUGUCGCCAGGAUACAGGAAGCACUGAUUGGUCAACUACUUCUCUUAACCAUUACCAUGGAUGUGAUUUCAAAUUGGUGCAAGCUGGAUUUAUGCCUAAGCAAGAUGGCAGGAAGGGCAGCCACACACCAAGAAAGGUAGACAUACUCCUUUUUAUCUAGGAACUGUGCUUUUAGGAAAGAUCUUUUGAGUGGGGAAGUUUGAGCUUCAGACACUAAUCUCAUCAUUUUGCCUCUGUCUUUCAGAGACUGAGCCUAUUGUACUGUGUUUUUGAAAUGAUCAAAUGAAAGUAUGAAAAAUCUGGAAGCCAUAUAGGUAACAAAUGGCUGAAGGUACAGAUGGAGCUCAGAUGAAACCUCUUUUCGAACUCUGGAGAUGUUGCCAUGUGAAAGAAGUAGCAAAGACAUUGUUGUGGUUCCCUGGAUAGGGUGUAAAUUCAGUAGAAGGAGGUAUUUCCUCACAAAGAAAAGCCACCCAAUGCUGGAGGCAAGACCCUGAUUCUUAAGGUAGGAGUUCCUCAUCAUGACAGGUACUUAAGCUGAAGUUCCAUGACUAUUUUAGAAGACACUUGUAUUAUAAGGGAAAAGUUGGAAU
rnacentral:lncRNA from 1 species